UACGGGGGGGGCAAGCGUUGUUCGGAAUUACUGGGCGUAAAGGGCUCGUAGGCGGCCAACUAAGUCAGACGUGAAAUCCCUCGGCUUAACCGGGGAACUGCAUCUGAUACUGGAUGGCUUGAGUUCGGGAGAGGGAUGCGGAAUUCCAGGUGUAGCGGUGAAAUGCGUAGAUAUCUGGAGGAACACCGGUGGCGAAGGCGGCAUCCUGGACCGGCACUGACGCUGAGGAGCGAAAGCCAGGGGAGCAAACGGG
rnacentral:rRNA from 1 species